GCUGCUGACCCGUACAAGCUGCUGCGCUGCAUUGUUGCUGACCCGUACAUGCUGCUGCGCUGCUUUGUUGUUGACACGUGCACCUUUUUGUGCUGACGAGGGCACCAACUUUCUGAUAUCAUGUUUUCCUUUUGCCAUGUCAGUCGUCAGUUGUCAGACGUUCGUUGUCAGAGUCAGUUGUCCGACGUUCGUCGUCAGUUGUCCGACGGUCGUCGUCAGUUGUUAGACAUUCGUUUUCAGUGUUGGUUCUUCUUUAUGAGUUCCCCAGUCGCCUACUGAAAUGAAGUAGAAGAAAAGCUCUCUAACAAUUUGUACUGGCUCUCUGUUGUGUGGCGUGGCGAGGAGCGUAGAGGCAGUUCGUUCACGGUUUCAAACCCGUGACGACAUUUGGCGCCCAACUAAUCGAACCCACGACCCAGAAGCUCGUCCCUCUCCGGCCGGUGUUUUUCGUUUUCCUCUUCGCGUUCUCGCCAUGGCUCCGCUUUGCUGCGUCUGUUCAACCCUUUCCUAGAUCCUCGGAGCUCCUACUCAGUUUCUGUAGCGCCAUCGGUUUUCGGACAGCCGGCCAGUGUGCGUCCUGCUGCCCCAGUCUUCUUCUCGGCCGGUGCGUGCUGUUGGUCUCGCCGCUCCUGGAAGCGUCGCUGGGUCCGUCGGCAUAACCUGUUUUCUCAUGCAUUUGUACUUUUGUUUUUGUCAUGACUGGUGGAUGGGUGGCAUACUAGGUUGGUGCUGUUCUAAGAAUAAAAGAUCCAAAGGGACAAACACAGGUCGAACAGCUCGCCAGCCGGGAUCCUUUGCAAAAUCUGUUGCUUGCAGGUUCCGUUGAUUGGUGCACAGUUUUGCGGGGCUCCCGACUGGUGUUAACCCUCCUGGCCUACUCGUCAUGCGUUCAACAGUUGUGGCCCACCUCUUUUGUGUUUUAUUGUCGCCUGUUUAUGUUGCUUCAUAUUUCAUUUCCCCUGUCUUUCUGUCUUCUUCUCCGGUCUGUCUUCUUCCGUUUUUUAUACACUUCACUUUUGCUUCCAUCCACAGGAGUGGAUGUCUUUUUUUUGGUAGGGGAUAGUGUUGUACCUGCGCCUGCACGUGUUA